rnacentral:tRNA from 1 species
GGGCUGGUAGUUCAGUCUGGUACGAACGCUGCCUUCGCAAGGCAGAAGCCGCGGGUUCAAUUCCCGCCCAGUCCACCA